rnacentral:rRNA from 1 species
UACAGAGGGGGCAAGCGUUGUUCGGAAUUACUGGGCGUAAAGGGCGCGUAGGCGGCCUUCUAAGUCGAACGUGAAAUCCCUGGGCUCAACCAGGAACUGCGUCCGAUACUGGAAGGCUUGAAUCCGGGAGAGGGAUGCGGAAUUCCAGGUGUAGCGGUGAAAUGCGUAGAUAUCUGGAGGAACACCGGUGGCGAAGGCGGCAUCCUGGACCGGUAUUGACGCUGAGGCGCGAAAGCCAGGGGAGCAAACGGG